UACGGGGGGGGCAAGCGUUGUUCGGAAUUACUGGGCGUAAAGGGCGCGUAGGCGGCCUUCUAAGUCGGACGUGAAAUCCCUCGGCUUAACCGAGGAACUGCGUCCGAUACUGAAAGGCUUGAAUCCGGGAGAGGGAUGUGGAAUUCCAGGUGUAGCGGUGAAAUGCGUAGAUAUCUGGAGGAACACCGAUGGCGAAGGCAGGUCUCUGGGCCGAUACUGACGCUGAGGAGCGAAAGCGUGGGGAGCGAACAGG
rnacentral:rRNA from 1 species